rfam:Musca domestica strain aabys unplaced genomic scaffold Scaffold19368, whole genome shotgun sequence.
UCUUGCUUUGACUCACUCAACCUGGGUGUGAUGUGUGUAUUUCGUUUUGGCUAUCCAUCACAACCUCCUUGAGUGAGCGAUAGCAGGA